rnacentral:misc_RNA from 1 species
GAUGAAGAACGUAGCGAAUUGCGAUAUGUAAUGUGAAUUGCAGAAUUCAGUGAAUCAUCGAAUCUUUGAACGCACAUUGCGCCCCUUGGUAUUCCAUGGGGCAUGCCUGUUCGAGCGUCAUUUGUACCUUCAAGCUUUGCUUGGUGUUGGGUGUUUGUCCUGAGGGACUCGCCUUAAAGUAAUUGGCAGCCAGUGUUUUGGUUUUGAAGCGCAGCACAAGUCGCGAUUCAAAGCUAUACGCCAGCUUCCACAAGCCUUUUUCACUUUUGACCUCGGAUCAGGUAGGGAUACCCGCUGAACUUAAGCAUAUCAAUAAGCGGAGGA